rnacentral:rRNA from 1 species
AUGCACCGAAGCUGCGGCAGCGACACUAUGUGUUGUUGGGUAGGGGAGCGUUCUGUAAGCCUGCGAAGGUGUGCUGUGAGGCAUGCUGGAGGUAUCAGAAGUGCGAAUGCUGACAUAAGUAACGAUAAAGCGGGUGAAAAGCCCGCUCGCCGGAAGACCAAGGGUUCCUGUCCAACGUUAAUCGGGGCAGGGUGAGUCGACCCCUAAGGCGAGGCCGAAAGGCGUAGUCGAUGGGAAACAGGUUAAUAUUCCUGUACUUGGUGUUACUGCGAAGGGGGGACGGAGAAGGCUAUGUCGGCCGGGCGACGGUUGUCCCGGUUUAAGCGUGUAGGCUGACUUUCCAGGCAAAUCCGGAGAGUUAAGGCUGAGGCGUGAUGACGAGGCACCACGGUGCUGAAGUGACAAAUGCCCUGCUUCCAGGAAAAGCCUCUAAGCAUCAGGUAACAUCAAAUCGUACCCCAAACCGACACAGGUGGUCAGGUAGAGAAUACCAAGGCGCUUGAGAGAACUCGGGUGAAGGAACUAGGCAAAAUGGUGCCGUAACUUCGGGAGAAGGCACGCUGACAUGUAGGUGAAGCCCCUGCGGGUGGAGCUGAAGUCAGUCGAAGAUACCAGCUGGCUGCAACUGUUUAUUAAAAACACAGCACUGUGCAAACACGAAAGUGGACGUAUACGGUGUGACGCCUGCCCGGUGCCGGAAGGUUAAUUGAUGGGGUUAUCGCAAGAGAAGCUCCUGAUCGAAGCCCCGGUAAACGGCGGCCGUAACUAUAACGGUCCUAAGGUAGCGAAAUUCCUUGUCGGGUAAGUUCCGACCUGCACGAAUGGCGUAAUGAUGGCCAGGCUGUCUCCACCCGAGACUCAGUGAAAUUGAACUCGCUGUGAAGAUGCAGUGUACCCGCGGCAAGACGGAAAGACCCCGUGAACCUUUACUACAGCUUGACACUGAACAUUGAGCCUUGAUGUGUAGGAUAGGUGGGAGGCUUUGAAGCGUGGACGCCAGUCUGCGUGGAGCCAACCUUGAAAUACCACCCUUUAAUGUUUGAUGUUCUAACCUGGCGCCAUAAUCUGGCGUGGGGACAGUGUCUGGUGGGUAGUUUGACUGGGGCGGUCUCCUCCCAAAGUGUAACGGAGGAGCACGAAGGUCAGCUAAUCCUGGUCGGACAUCAGGAGGUUAGUGCAAUGGCAUAAGCUGGCUUGACUGCGAGAGUGACGGCUCGAGCAGGUGCGAAAGCAGGUCAUAGUGAUCCGGUGGUUCUGUAUGGAAGGGCCAUCGCUCAACGGAUAAAAGGUACUCCGGGGAUAACAGGCUGAUACCGCCCAAGAGUUCAUAUCGACGGCGGUGUUUGGCACCUCGAUGUCGGCUCAUCACAUCCUGGGGCUGAAGUAGGUCCCAAGGGUAUGGCUGUUCGCCAUUUAAAGUGGUACGCGAGCUGGGUUUAGAACGUCGUGAGACAGUUCGGUCCCUAUCUGCCGUGGGCGCUGGAGAAUUGAGGGGGGCUGCUCCCAGUACGAGAGGACCGGAGUGGACGCAUCACUGGUGUUCGGGUUGUCAUGCCAAUGGCAC